AAAUAUGCAACGCACACAUGGACAUGGGAAGGGAAUAGAGUAGAUUCUGCGUCCCUCUCUUUCGAAACCUCUUCUUGUGAACUUGGAAUUUGGACUCUUCCUUUUUCAUCAGGGUUUCCUCCGAUGCUCCUCUAUUCUCUGCACCCAACCAAAAGUACACUUUGUUUCUUUCAUUUUCGAGAACCCCCAGUACACGUUCUCCAUGUGAAAGGGCUUUUCCCUUUUCUCAAAGGCCAAAAUGUCUCUGCCUUUUGCUUCUUGGUGGGGUUGCUCUAGGGUUCUGGUUUUCUCACCCGUUUAGGUUCAAAUCAUCCUCUUCUUUGGUUCUUUUUUUUUUUUUCCACAAUUGGACCAAAACCCUUUUGUUUACACCAAUAGCUGAUGACAAUUCCCAGCUCAAAAUCCUAAUUUUCUUCUGAUUUUAUCUCUAGGGUUUGUGCAUGUUCCUCAAAAUGAUGAAGGAUCAAGUUUGAAGCGACAAUGCGGAGUUUUUCCUGAAGCAUCCACCAUGCAGUUCCUAUCUCUUUGAGCUGCGGGGUUGCUCUUAACCUUUAGUUGGUGCUUUCAGUUCCUAUCUCUUUGAAACAUGGGUUGUGUCCAUGGCAAGUAUUGCUGCGGCAAAUUUUCUUCAUCAGAGUGUGGCCAUCGGAAGAACGCACGCGCUCAGAGAUCACUUGAGUAUGUUCCUGUUCCUUCCCACAACUUCACUUUGGAAUACUCUUUUCUCACACGACGGGGAUACUACCCUGACUCGCCGGAUAAAGAAAACCAAGAUUGUUUCUGCAUUAGGACACAAAUCCAAGGUAACCCCAGUAUCCAUUUAUUUGGUGUCUAUGAUGGGCACGGUCAAUUUGGUGGCCAGUGUUCGAACUUUGUUAAGGAUAGGUUGGUAGAAAAAUUAUCAAAUGACCCUGCAUUGUUGGAGGACCCUGUUCAAUCUUACACUUCUGCAUUCUUGACUACAAAUCAAGAAUUGCAUGCUAGUCAAAUUGAUGAUUCUAUGAGUGGAACCACCGCAAUUACGGUGCUUGUUAUUGGAGACACCCUUUAUGUUGCUAAUGUUGGUGAUUCGAGAGCUGUGCUAGCUGUUAAGGAUGGGAAUCGCAUUAUUGCUGAGGACUUGUCCUCUGAUCAGACACCAUAUCGGAGAGAUGAAUAUGAGAGAGUGAAACUUUGUGGGGCAAGGGUGUUGAGUGUUGAUCAAGUGGAAGGGCUCAAGGAUCCGGAUAUUCAGAAUUGGGGUGAUGAAGAGAGUCGGGGUUGUGAUCCUCCGAGAUUGUGGGUUCGAAAUGGGAUGUAUCCUGGAACUGCAUUUACCAGGAGUAUAGGGGAUGAUUUGGCGGAGACUAUUGGUGUCAUUGCUAUUCCAGAGGUGUCAAAAGUUCAGCUUACACCUAAUCAUCUUUUCUUUAUUGUUGCAAGUGAUGGCGUGUUUGAAUUCAUGUCAAGCCAAAUGGUUGUUGAUAUGGCAGCCAGCUAUACAGAUCCUCGUGAUGCAUGUGCGGCCAUUGCUGGAGAGUCACAUAAACUAUGGUUGGAACAUGAGAACCGAACAGAUGAUAUAACAAUUAUCAUUGUUCAGAUCAAAGGCUUCUCUAAUGUAUGGAUUCUUGAAUAUAUUCCUUUGGUGCCACUUGCUUUUUAUGUUUUCUACAUUCACACUUGUUUAAAGAUUUUAAAUUUGUAGUAUUAAAUUAUCUUCUUAUCCUGUGAAAAUAACAACGAAGUCUUAUCCCAUCAAGUGGGGUCAAUUGUCAAUAACAUUGGUUCAUAUUAAUCAUUUGAUCCUGAUCCGUGCAAUUACUUCUUUAUCCCCUUUUUGCUCUACAGUGAUGGAACAGAGAGGCUUUAUGGAAGCUUCACCAAGUCUCUUUGUAGUUUCUCCUAAGUGGCUGCUCAAGGUUGCUAGUUUGAAGUGCAUUAUCUUGGCAGCAAAAGGACCUUGUUCAGAAUGUAGAAAUCACAGUUGGUAUAAUUCAAGUUACAUGUUGUUUAACCAUACAGAACCACCUUACUUAGGAGAACACUUAAGCUCGCCUUCUUGGGACGCGCUAUUGCACCUCCACUCUAUUUUAACUUUGGAAGGAAAUCAAUCACGAACUUGAAAUGAAAGGGAUUUGUGAAAGGAGAUUGGGUUGUGACUAUCAUUUGUAUUGGGUUGUGGAAGAAACUCAUAAAGAUGGUGGUCACUGGUCCCCUUGGAAGGCAGAAAUAUGCUACUUAGCAAUUAGAUGCAUUGUCACAAUUUUCCUUUGGAUGCUGGAUCCAGCGUAUGUAUCAGCAACAUAUCUGGAUUAAUUAUUGCAUUUCAAGAUUAAUUUCAUGUUCUUACUAUAAAUUUAUAGACUCUUUUUCAAUAACCUAGUUGAUUGGAGUUGUAGUUUCAUUUCAUCUGUUACGGCUUUGUUAAAUGUGAGG